rnacentral:rRNA from 1 species
UACAGAGGGUGCGAGCGUUAAUCGGAAUUACUGGGCGUAAAGCGUGCGUAGACGGUUACGUAAGUCGGGUGUGAAAGCCCCGGGCUCAACCUGGGAAUUGCAUUCGAGACUGCGAAGCUAGGGUGCGGAAGAGGGAAGCGGAAUUUCCGGUGUAGCGGUGAAAUGCGUAGAUAUCGGAAGGAACAUCAGUGGCGAAAGCGGCUUCCUGGUCCAGCACCGACGUUCAGGCACGAAAGCGUGGGGAGCAAACAG